GACGAACGCUGGCGGCGUGCCUAAUACAUGCAAGUCGAACGAGAGCGACCGGUGCUUGCACUGGUCAAUCUAGUGGCGAACGGGUGAGUAACACGUGGGUAACCUGCCCAUCAGAGGGGGAUAACAUUCGGAAACGGAUGCUAAAACCGCAUAGGUCUUUGAACCGCAUGGUUUGAAGAGGAAAAGAGGCGCAAGCUUCUGCUGAUGGAUGGACCCGCGGUGCAUUAGCUAGUUGGUGAGGUAACGGCUCACCAAGGCCGUGAUGCAUAGCCGACCUGAGAGGGGGAUCGGCCACAUUGGGACUGAGACACGGCCCAAACUCCUACGGGAGGCAGCAGUAGGGAAUCUUCCGCAAUGGACGCAAGUCUGACGGAGCAACGCCGCGUGAGUGAAGAAGGUUUUCGGAUCGUAAAACUCUGUUGUUAGAGAAGAACAAGUGCUAGAGUAACUGCUAGCGCCUUGACGGUAUCUAACCAGAAAGCCACGGCUAACUACGUGCCAGCCGCCGCGAUAAGAC
rnacentral:rRNA from 1 species